GUAUAAACUGUUGUGUUUCCGCUGGAUGUUGCGGCUUCGGCGCGACAGGUUUUGCACAGUACCUGUUUCUGCUGCACGUCUGCGGCCUCAGAGCCGAAAUACUCCCAAAUGAGCGACGCUCUGUGUUUCUUGGAGAUUAAAUCCUGUAACUCCGCUUCUGCUCCAGCUGAAGCCGUUUCACUAAUUCUGAUCGGUGAGCUCGGCAGGUAUGUGUAGAAUAGCUGACACAGCAGAUGCUGGGUCAGUCAGGAGCGCUGCAGAAACACCACAG